UGCAAAGCAAGAUGCAAAUCUGUAACACAAGAUCGGAAAUGUUUUCCAAACUUCCAGCAACAACUGCAUGUCCUAUAUUCUUGAGCAUGCAUAUAUGUAAAGGUAAGGGAUAUAUCUAAUAUGCAAUACAUUUAUUGACAUUAUACAUCAGAUGGCUAAUGCAACCUCUAUUCGACGUCGGAUUCAGUAGCCAAGAGUUGCGUCGCACAGUGAAGAACUUAUCUGAAGCAGCAGAGAGUAGCAGCAACUGGCUGUGGUUGAGAAGGAAAGAUUCUGGUUGGGGAUCUCAAGCACAAUAGAAAGAAAGAAGGAAAGAAAGAAAGAAAGAAAGAAAGAAACGCUGAUGUACAGGUAAGUAAGCUGAGUUGAGUUGAGUGGGGGACGGAGGGGGGUGAUGCUGGGACGCCAGAAUCACCGUCGAGCCCUCUUGAGGUGUGGUGGGCUAGUCGACGAAACACCGUGGACGAAAGGUGCCCACUUGAAGCGAUGUACCCUACUUAGUUCAAUCCAGAAGGUUGUCAAGCAGAUGCACUGGGGAGAGCGCACUGUGGUUGAUACCUGGAGCCAGCAUCGAAGCCGUUGUGUGUGCUGAUGCGCUGGGGAGGCAAAAUAAGCUAAUCCCUGGAGCCAGCAUUACACGGCAGCCACCAACACCAGGCAGAAGGAUAUCUACAUCAUCAGAUGGAAAGAAACGCAAAUGGAUGGAGAUGCAGAUGGAUCACAUUAGUUCACUGUAAAGAUACAUCUUAGUUGGUGCUUACCUUGGCGACAGCCAAGUUCAAAUCAUCAUGAAGUUUUAACAUCUACUCUCAUGUAAUGGAAAUUGUGACAGAUGUGAAUGUGUGAAUACUAUUGACUUUGUUCCCUACAGAAAGAUAACUUUUUUCGCUAUAACUGCAAGAACACCAAAAUCAUACUUCAUCAGAGAAAUAACAAAGAGGUUUGACUAAAUCCAGACUCUAAACAAGGCCAGGGCCUGCAGGAAUGUUGGAGGUGUCAGAAUCAGUCAUUCUUCCCUUAUUCGGCAGCAGCUUCUUCAAAUUGCAAGUAGACUGAUCAGUAGUUAUCUUCUUGUGCGUUUGCCAUUCCUUAAAGAUGUCAGAAACAAUGGACUUUGAUUUCCUGGCUGAAGUGUUUUGGAUAAAGAUGCUCAGCAAUGUGGCUUUUAUGAAAUGAGUGCAACUAUCCAGCUGAAGGCAGUCACAGGAGAGUGGAGCGUCACAUGACACCAUGCACUGGAACUUCCAACACUUCCAACUGAAAGAAAUGAACUGAAUGAACAACAGUUUCCUCUGCUGCUCCUGUUUCUACAUCCAUGACUUUUUAGACAUCUGAACUUCAUGACUCUGAAUGAUGUGUCUCAAGAAAAGCUGCAGCAUACUGAUGGACCGUGAAAGCAUGUUUAAUGUAAUGCGUUAUUUUUCUUGAUUAAACUGUUUUCUACUACUUUGAUUGCCAUGCCAAGUAAAACUAAAGAAACUUCUAGUCAACAAGACAAAUGUUUCGACAAUGAUUAGACAUUAAAAAAGACACAUGUCGAAUUGUUUCUCAGAAUAAUAGACAUACACUAGUGGUGGUUUAAAAAACAAACAGACAAACAAAUAAAAUAUCAUAUUUUGUUUUCCAAUUUUAAAAUUGGCCACAUGAUCUGGAAAAGCAUUAUCAUAUACUGUCAACUUCAAGAGUACUUAACAUUGUAAAGAUGUUAAGACACAAAUCCAAAGCAAUUUCACAUUUCUGGUACUGUAAUGUGUCUGACACUGUAUCAGUUGCCAGAUUGAGACGUAUGAAAUCCAUCAUGACAAAAAUGCUGAUUUGCAGUAUGAAACUUUUUCUUUUAAGAAAAUGUAACCUUAAAAUAUUCUACUUACACUUGCACUUCUGAAUAUGAAUCUAUGGGUGAAUGCAUUAUUGACAAAAAGAAAAAAAUGACUGUCCAAAUAAAACAUGCACUAAGAAUAUUUUUAAUCAGUUUCUGAAUUUUCUUCUAGUAC